GACGAACGCUGGCGGCGUGCCUAAUACAUGCAAGUCGAACGCAGUGGGGACGGGUGAGUAACACGUGGGUAACCUCCCAUCAGAGGGGAUAACCCUUGGAAACAGGUGCUAAACCGCUACUGAUGGAUGGACCCGCGGUGCAUUAGCUAGUGGGUGAGGUAACGGCUCACCAAGGCGACGAUGCAUAGCCGACCUGAGAGGGUGAUCGGCCACACUGGGACUGAGACACGGCCCAGACUCCUACGGGAGGCAGCAGUAGGGAAUGUUGGGCAAUGGGCGAAAGGCGGACCGAGCAACGCCGCGUGAGUGAAGAAGGUGUUCGGGUCGUAAAACUCUGUUGUUGGAGAAGCGGUAUCUAAAGAGGAAGCCACGGCUAACUACGUGCCAGCAGCCGCGGUAAUAC
rnacentral:rRNA from 1 species